rnacentral:rRNA from 1 species
AUUGAACGCUGGCGGCAGGCCUAACACAUGCAAGUCGAGCGGAUGAAGGGAGCUUGCUUCUGGAUUCAGCGGCGGACGGGUGAGUAAUGCCUAGGAAUCUGCCUGGUAGUGGGGGAUAACGUCCGGAAACGGGCGCUAAUACCGCAUACGUCCUGAGGGAGAAAGUGGGGGAUCUUCGGACCUCACGCUAUCAGAUGAGCCUAGGUCGGAUUAGCUAGUUGGUGGGGUAAAGGACUACCAAGGCGACGAUCCGUAACUGGUCUGAGAGGAUGAUCAGUCACACUGGAAGUGGGACACGGUCCAGACUCCUACGGGAGGCACCAGUGGGGAAUAUUGGACAGUGGGCGAAAGCCUGAUACAACCAUGCCGCGUGUGUGAAGAAGGUCUUCGGAUUGUAAAGCACUUUAAGUUGGGAGGAAGGGCAGUAAGUUAAUACCUUGCUGUUUUGACGUUACCAACAGAAUAAGCACCGGCUAACUACGUG